rnacentral:rRNA from 1 species
GGGUUGUGAGGUUAAGCGACUAAGCGUACACGGUGGAUGCCCUGGCAGUCAGAGGCGAUGAAGGACGUGCUAAUCUGCGAUAAGCGUCGGUAAGGUGAUAUGAACCGUUAUAACCGGCGAUUUCCGAAUGGGGAAACCCAGUGUGUUUCGACACACUAUCAUUAACUGAAUCCAUAGGUUAAUGAGGCGAACCGGGGGAACUGAAACAUCUAAGUACCCCGAGGAAAAGAAAUCAACCGAGAUUCCCCCAGUAGCGGCGAGCGAACGGGGAGCAGCCCAGAGCCUGAAUCAGUGUGUGUGUUAGUGGAAGCGUCUGGAAAGGCGCGCGAUACAGGGUGACAGCCCCGUACACAAAAAUGCACAUGCUGUGAGCUCGAUGAGUAGGGCGGGACACGUGGUAUCCUGUCUGAAUAUGGGGGGACCAUCCUCCAAGGCUAAAUACUCCUGACUGACCGAUAGUGAACCAGUACCGUGAGGGAAAGGCGAAAAGAACCCCGGCGAGGGGAGUGAAAAAGAACCUGAAACCGUGUACGUACAAGCAGUGGGAGCCUCUUUAUGGGGUGACUGCGUACCUUUUGUAUAAUGGGUCAGCGACUUAUAUUCUGUAGCAAGGUUAACCGAAUAGGGGAGCCGAAGGGAAACCGAGUCUUAACUGGGCGUUAAGUUGCAGGGUAUAGACCCGAAACCCGGUGAUCUAGCCAUGGGCAGGUUGAAGGUUGGGUAACACUAACUGGAGGACCGAACCGACUAAUGUUGAAAAAUUAGCGGAUGACUUGUGGCUGGGGGUGAAAGGCCAAUCAAACCGGGAGAUAGCUGGUUCUCCCCGAAAGCUAUUUAGGUAGCGCCUCGUGAAUUCAUCUCCGGGGGUAGAGCACUGUUUCGGCAAGGGGGUCAUCCCGACUUACCAACCCGAUGCAAACUGCGAAUACCGGAGAAUGUUAUCACGGGAGACACACGGCGGGUGCUAACGUCCGUCGUGAAGAGGGAAACAACCCAGACCGCCAGCUAAGGUCCCAAAGUCAUGGUUAAGUGGGAAACGAUGUGGGAAGGCCCAGACAGCCAGGAUGUUGGCUUAGAAGCAGCCAUCAUUUAAAGAAAGCGUAAUAGCUCACUGGUCGAGUCGGCCUGCGCGGAAGAUGUAACGGGGCUAAACCAUGCACCGAAGCUGCGGCAGCGACACUAUGUGUUGUUGGGUAGGGGAGCGUUCUGUAAGCCUGUGAAGGUGUACUGUGAGGUAUGCUGGAGGUAUCAGAAGUGCGAAUGCUGACAUAAGUAACGAUAAAGCGGGUGAAAAGCCCGCUCGCCGGAAGACCAAGGGUUCCUGUCCAACGUUAAUCGGGGCAGGGUGAGUCGACCCCUAAGGCGAGGCCGAAAGGCGUAGUCGAUGGGAAACAGGUUAAUAUUCCUGUACUUGGUGUUACUGCGAAGGGGGGACGGAGAAGGCUAUGUUGGCCGGGCGACGGUUGUCCCGGUUUAAGCGUGUAGGCUGGUUUUCCAGGCAAAUCCGGAAAACCAAGGCUGAGGCGUGAUGACGAGGCACUACGGUGCUGAAGCAACAAAUGCCCUGCUUCCAGGAAAAGCCUCUAAGCAUCAGGUAACAUCAAAUCGUACCCCAAACCGACACAGGUGGUCAGGUAGAGAAUACCAAGGCGCUUGAGAGAACUCGGGUGAAGGAACUAGGCAAAAUGGUGCCGUAACUUCGGGAGAAGGCACGCUGAUACGUAGGUGAAGUCCCUCGCGGAUGGAGCUGAAAUCAGUCGAAGAUACCAGCUGGCUGCAACUGUUUAUUAAAAACACAGCACUGUGCAAACACGAAAGUGGACGUAUACGGUGUGACGCCUGCCCGGUGCCGGAAGGUUAAUUGAUGGGGUUAGCGCAAGCGAAGCUCUUGAUCGAAGCCCCGGUAAACGGCGGCCGUAACUAUAACGGUCCUAAGGUAGCGAAAUUCCUUGUCGGGUAAGUUCCGACCUGCACGAAUGGCGUAAUGAUGGCCAGGCUGUCUCCACCCGAGACUCAGUGAAAUUGAACUCGCUGUGAAGAUGCAGUGUACCCGCGGCAAGACGGAAAGACCCCGUGAACCUUUACUAUAGCUUGACACUGAACAUUGAGCCUUGAUGUGUAGGAUAGGUGGGAGGCUUUGAAGUGUGGACGCCAGUCUGCAUGGAGCCGACCUUGAAAUACCACCCUUUAAUGUUUGAUGUUCUAACGUAGACCCGUGAUCCGGGUUGCGGACAGUGUCUGGUGGGUAGUUUGACUGGGGCGGUCUCCUCCUAAAGAGUAACGGAGGAGCACGAAGGUUGGCUAAUCCUGGUCGGACAUCAGGAGGUUAGUGCAAUGGCAUAAGCCAGCUUGACUGCGAGCGUGACGGCGCGAGCAGGUGCGAAAGCAGGUCAUAGUGAUCCGGUGGUUCUGAAUGGAAGGGCCAUCGCUCAACGGAUAAAAGGUACUCCGGGGAUAACAGGCUGAUACCGCCCAAGAGUUCAUAUCGACGGCGGUGUUUGGCACCUCGAUGUCGGCUCAUCACAUCCUGGGGCUGAAGUAGGUCCCAAGGGUAUGGCUGUUCGCCAUUUAAAGUGGUACGCGAGCUGGGUUUAGAACGUCGUGAGACAGUUCGGUCCCUAUCUGCCGUGGGCGCUGGAGAACUGAGGGGGGCUGCUCCUAGUACGAGAGGACCGGAGUGGACGCAUCACUGGUGUUCGGGUUGUCAUGCCAAUGGCACUGCCCGGUAGCUAAAUGCGGAAGAGAUAAGUGCUGAAAGCAUCUAAGCACGAAACUUGCCCCGAGAUGAGUUCUCCCUGACUCCUUGAGAGUCCUGAAGGAACGUUGAAGACGACGACGUUGAUAGGCCGGGUGUGUAAGCGCAGCGAUGCGUUGAGCUAACCGGUACUAAUGAACCGUGAGGCUUAACCUUACAACGCCGAAG